rnacentral:rRNA from 1 species
GAUGAACGCUGGCGGCGUGCCUAAUACAUGCAAGUCGAGCGAACAGAUAAGGAGCUUGCUCCUUUGACGUUAGCGGCGGACGGGUGAGUAACACGUGGGUAACCUACCUAUAAGACUGGGAUAACUUCGGGAAACCGGAGCUAAUACCGGAUAACAUUUGGAACCGCAUGGUUCUAAAGUGAAAGAUGGUUUUGCUAUCACUUAUAGAUGGACCCGCGCCGUAUUAGCUAGUUGGUAAGGUAGCGGCUUACCAAGGCGACGAUACGUAGCCGACCUGAGAGGGUGAUCGGCCACACUGGAACUGAGACACGGUCCAGACUCCUACGGGAGGCAGCAGUAGGGAAUCUUCCGCAAUGGGCGAAAGCCUGACGGAGCAACGCCGCGUGAGUGAUGAAGGGUUUCGGCUCGUAAAACUCUGUUAUUAGGGAGGAACAAAUGUGUAAGUAACUGUGCACGUCUUGACGGUACCUAAUCAGAAAGCCACGGCUAACUACGUG